GCGGGAGUAGCUCAUUUGGUNNGUAGCCUUCCAAGCUUCAGGUGGCGGGUUCGAGCCCCGUCUCCCGCUCAA
rnacentral:tRNA from 1 species